rnacentral:lncRNA from 1 species
UGGAGAUCUGUGAAAUCCACUGGCCAUUAGGGCAGAGAAGAGGGGGCGGCUGCAGCAGGCGGUCUGGGCAGGGUUGUGGGCAGGAUUUGGGGGUUGGAUUUGGAGGAGAGGUAGGGAAGUGAAAAUCCGCAGUUCGGCUGUCUGCCCCACCGGCCUUUAAGGGGCCUGUAUGUUCUCGAGGAAUGCCUGCUGGAGUGGGAGGCUGGGAUAAUGGGAAGAAGAUGGCGGAAAGAAAGAUUGGAGGAGGAGGUCUACAUGAUCCUUUGGAGAUCCCGGGGUCAGAGAGGACGGGGAGACCGGAACAGAGCCCUCAUCCAAUGGCUGAUGGAAGCAGAGACAGACAUCCACAGAUAUACACUGAGCUGAAAUCUGGAAUUUAAUUGAAGAGAGGAAGGAAUGAAGAGCGAAGGGGUCUGUACCAGGUUGGAGAAACCCACACUAACAGUUGGCCUGAACAAGGGAGAGCACAUCGACCCUGUGUGCUGUCGGGGAGGCCAGGACAAGACUGAUCCAGACCCCUGAACAUGGAUGUCAAUAAGGAGGCCUAUGGUAGUGGAUUAGUAUUUUUCCCUGGUGCAAGAAGGGACUUUGAGAGCCCAUCCCACAUGAAGGGAUACACUCUGGCCCUGGACACAUGGGGAAGGGCCCAGGCCCAGUACAGGAAGAUUUGGAGGACACUGCAGAGCCCC